GUCAAGAUGGCCGAGUUGGUCUAAGGCGCCAGUUUUAGGUACUGGUUCGAAUUCCAUUUUUGACA
rnacentral:tRNA from 1 species